UACAGAGGGUGCAAGCGUUAAUCGGAAUUACUGGGCGUAAAGCGUGCGUAGUCGGCUUUUUAAGUCGGGUGUGAAAUCCCCGGGCUCAACCUGGGAAUUGCAUUCGAUACUGGAUGGCUAGAGUUCGGCAGAGGGAAGUGGAAUUUCUGGUGUAGCGGUGAAAUGCGUAGAUAUCUGGAGGAACACCGGUGGCGAAGGCGGCAUCCUGGACCGGUAUUGACGCUGAGGCGCGAAAGCCAGGGGAGCAAACGGG
rnacentral:rRNA from 1 species